AUUGAACGCUGGCGGCAGGCCUAACACAUGCAAGUCGAACGGUAACAGGAAGCAGCUUGCUGCUUCGCUGACGAGUGGCGGACGGGUGAGUAAUGUCUGGGAAGCUGCCUGAUGGAGGGGGAUAACUACUGGAAACGGUAGCUAAUACCGCAUAAUGUCGCAAGACCAAAGAGGGGGACCUUCGGGCCUCUUGCCAUCGGAUGUGCCCAGAUGGGAUUAGCUUGUUGGUGGGGUAACGGCUCACCAAGGCGACGAUCCCUAGCUGGUCUGAGAGGAUGACCGGCAACACGGGAACUGAGACACGGUCCAGACUCCGACGGGAGGCAGAAGUGGGGAAUAUUGCAGAAUGGGCGAAAGCCUGAACCAGCCAUACGGAGUGUAUGAAGAAGGCCUUCGGGUUGUAAAGUACUUUCGGGGGGGAGGAAGGGAAGAAAGUUAAUACCUUUCUGUAGUGACGGUACCCGAAGAAGAAGCACCGGCAAACUCCGUG
rnacentral:rRNA from 1 species